AGAGUUUGAUCAUGGCUCAGAACGAACGCUGGCGGCGUGGAUUAGGCAUGCAAGUCGAACGAGGAUAUAUCCUUCGGGAUAUAAGCCGAGUGGCGGAAGGGUGAGUAAUGCACAGACAACCUGCCUUUAGGAUAAGAAUAACUCUGUGAAAGCGGAGCUAAUACUUAAUAAUACAAAGAAAAGGUUCUUUUCUUUGUCAAAAAGGGGUAUGUUAUACCUUUUUGGCCUAGAGAGGGGUUUAUGUCCUAUCAGCUUGUUUGUUGGGUUACGGCCUACCAAGGCGAAGACGGGUAACCGGCCUUAGAGGGUAGUCGGUCACACUGGAACUGAGACACUGUCCAGACUUCUACGGAAGGCUGCAGUCGAGAAUCUUUCGCAAUGCCCGAAAGGGUGACGAAGCGACGCCGCGUGGAUGAAGAAGGCCUUCGGGUUGUAAAAUCCUGUCAGGAGUUAAGAAAUAUAAGUUUGAUAAUACCAAACUUAUUUGACAAAGGCUCCAGAGGAAGCCACGGCUAACUCUGUGCCAGCAGCCGCGGUAAUACAGAGGUGGCAAGCGUUGUUCGGAAUUAUUGGGCGUAAAGAGCACGUAGGUGGAUUUGUUAGUCAGAUGUGAAAGCCUUUCGUUCAACGGAAGAAUUGCAUCUGAAACUACAAACCUUGAGUAUAGGAGGGGAGAGUGGAACUUCUGGUGGAGCGGUGAAAUGCGUAGAUAUCAGAAGGAACGCCGGCGGCGAAAGCGACUCUCUGGCCUAUAACUGACACUGAGUGUGCGAAAGCUAGGGGAGCAAACGGGAUUAGAUACCCCGGUAGUCCUAGCCGUAAACGAUGGGCACUAAGUAGGGGGAACUACCGAUGUUCUCUCUGCCGUAGCAAACGCAUUAAGUGCCCCGCCUGGGGAGUACGGCCGCAAGGCUAAAACUCAAAGGAAUUGACGGG
rnacentral:rRNA from 1 species